rnacentral:sRNA from 1 species
GAUUACACUCUCUGGCCUUUCUGGGUCGACACGCACGUAGACCCUCCGUUCCAUAAGAGCAGGUGAGGUAGGGACAGGGAGGACUGGGGCGAGAUAGGACCCAGCCAGGGCUGAGCGCACUCUUGCCCUCCCCAGUGAUGGAACUGUACGAGAUAGGCGGGGCCAAGACGUCCGACUGUACCCAGAGGUGCCUGAGGUCCUAAAACGAUUGCAGAGCCUUGGGGUGCCCGGUGCGGCUGCUUCAAGGACAAGUGAGAUAGAAGGGGCCAACCAGCUACUGGAGCUCUUUGACCUUAUCAGGUGUUACCUGCAUUCACAUCCAGAAUGGAAUGAAUCUUCAAACUCUAAGUCAAGGGUUACAGACAUUUGCGAAGGCCCAAACUGGGCCUUGAGGUCCAGCCUUGAGGAGAGCCCAUUUGAGGCCUAAACUGAAAGGAAAUCAAGAAGGCAUUUUCAGGUGCAUUUGUAAUUUAUUAAAGUUCAUCUGUGUGUGACAGAA